rnacentral:tRNA from 1 species
GCGCUAGUAGUCUAGCCUGGUAGGACAGAUGCUUGCCAAGCAUCAGACCCGAGUUCAAAUCUCGGCUGGCGCA